rnacentral:rRNA from 1 species
AUUGAACGCUGGCGGCAGGCCUAACACAUGCAAGUCGAACGAGUGGCGGACGGGUGAGUAAUGUUUGGGAAACUGCCUGAUGGAGGGGGAUAACUACUGGAAACGGUAGCUAAUACCGCAUACCAUCGGAUGAGCACAAGUGGGAUUAGGUAGUUGGUGGGGUAAAGGCUCACCAAGCCGACGAUCCCUAGCUGGUCUGAGAGGAUGACCAGCCACACUGGGACUGAUACACGGCCCAGACUCCUACGGGAGGCAGCAGUGGGGAAUAUUGCGCAAUGGGCGCAAUCCUGACGCAGCCAUGCCGCGUGAAUGAAGAAGGCCUUCGGGUUGUAAAGUACUUUCGGCAGGGAGGCGUUACCCGCAGAAGAAGCACCGGCUAACUCCGUGCCAGCAGCCGCGGUAAUUC